rnacentral:rRNA from 1 species
UACGUAGGGUGCAAGCGUUAAUCGGAAUUACUGGGCGUAAAGCGUGCGCAGGCGGAUUUUCAAGACAGAUGUGAAAUCCCUGGGCUCAACCUAGGAACUGCAUUUGUGACUGUAAAUCUAGAGUACGGUAGAGGGGGAUGGAAUUCCGCGUGUAGCAGUGAAAUGCGUAGAUAUGCGGAGGAACACCGAUGGCGAAGGCAAUCCCCUGGACCAAUACUGACGCUCAAGCACGAAAGCGUGGGGAGCAAACAGG